rnacentral:rRNA from 1 species
GUCCUUUCGAAUAUUAAUGAAAGGUCUGUUCUGCCCCCUGAUUUUUUAAAUGGCCGCAGUAUAUUAACUGUGCAAAGGUAGCAUAAUCAUUAGUUUUUUAAUUGGAGACUUGUAUGAAUGAUUGGACGAGGUACAUACUGUUUCAACUAAAUGAAUAGAAUUUUAUUUUUUAGUUAAAAAGCUAAAAUUUUUUUAAAAGACGAGAAGACCCUAUAGAUCUUUAUUAUUAAUUUAUUAUUGAUUUUGAAGAAUAUUUUUUUACUGGUAGGAUUAAUAAUUUUGUUGGGGUGACACUGAAAUUUAUUUAACUUUUGUUUUAUAAAGACAUUGAUUUAUGAAUAAAUGAUCCAUUUUUAUUGAUUAAAAAUUUAAGUUACCUUAGGGAUAACAGCGUAAUUAUUUUGGAGAGUUCUUAUCGAUAAAAUAGUUUGCGACCUCGAUGUUGGAUUAAGAUUAAUACUGGGCGCAGCUGUUUAGUUUAUUAAGUCUGUUCGACUUUUAAUUUCUU